GAUGAACGCUGGCGGCGUGCUUAACACAUGCAAGUCGAACGGUGAAGGCGGAGCUUGCUCUGCUGGAUCAGUGGCGAACGGGUGAGUAACACGUGAGCAAUCUGCCCCUGACUCUGGGAUAAGCGCUGGAAACGGCGUCUAAUACUGGAUACGAGCUGCGAAGGCAUCUUCAGCAGCUGGAAAGAAUUUCGGUCAGGGAUGAGCUCGCGGCCUAUCAGCUUGUUGGUGAGGUAGUGGCUCACCAAGGCGUCGACGGGUAGCCGGCCUGAGAGGGUGACCGGCCACACUGGGACUGAGACACGGCCCAGACUCCUACGGGAGGCAGCAGUGGGGAAUAUUGCACAAUGGGCGAAAGCCUGAUGCAGCAACGCCGCGUGAGGGAUGACGGCCUUCGGGUUGUAAACCUCUUUUAGCAGGGAAGAAGCGAAAGUGACGGUACCUGCAGAAAAAGCGCCGGCUAACUACGUG
rnacentral:rRNA from 1 species